ensembl:lncRNA
CUUCUUAAUGCUAAGAAAGCAUGAAAUGUUAUAAAAUGUAUAAUAAACACAAUAUAACUAAAAAAUAUUCCUUCAGUUUCCAAAGUGAGGGGAUAUAUGUAUACCUACGACUGAUUCAUGUUGAGGUUUGACAGAAAACAACAAAAUUCUGUAAAGCAAUUAUCCUUCAAUAAAAAAAAUUAAUAAAAAAGAAUAACAAAAAAAUUCCUUCAAAAAAAAGCCUAGAUUUUAGUUAUGAUGAGAAGCCGUUACAUUACUACCUUGAGACAUUUGCUGAGAGGGAAGCACAAUUAUAUAAUCAAGUAUAAUGAAUGCAUAGUCAUUUAUUUAUAUUGCAACUUAUUCUAGAAAGAAGUAGAGGCUGCUAUAAUGAGUGAAUCAUAAGAGAAACAUAAAGACAAGAAAAUCUUCUAAUGUAGUAGGCUAGCUUUCAAUGCAUAUAGAAUACGUUGUAAAAAAAAUGUUGCAAAGGAAUACAAAUAAAAAAUAGAAAAUGCUCCCUCUAUGUUUUUAUUGCUGGCCCCACAUUUCCUUUUUGAAGAAUCAAAAUUUCACUUGAAUCUUUCCCAUCCUUCAUUCCCCAUAUUCAGUUGGUAGCCACGACUUCUUAGUUUUGCCUUUGCAGUAUUUCUUGGACCCACACCUUUUCUUUAUUUCUACUGCCAAGCCCUAGUUCAUGUUCUCUCUUUAAUAUUAAUAGUUUCCUAUUCAUCUCUUUGCCCCAGCCUCUCCCCUCUCCAUCCUCCUUCCCUUUACUCCUACCACUGUAACUCAUCCAAUACAAUGCUACUGAAUUAAUUUUUUUAAAGCAUUGAUACAUCUCUGGCUUUGUCAUUUGCUUAUUAAAAACCUUCCAUGCCUUCUCACUGCUUUCUGUUUUUGAUACAUUUUUGUUUGUACCUCUUCUCUGUAAUGUUUUCUUUCUUAUAAUAAAUUUUAUAUACAUUUGAGCAUCUCUACUAGAGAGUAAACUCCUUUCAUCAUUUCUCCUCCCCCAACAUCUAGCAUAUUGUCUUAAGUUAUCAGUAAAUGUUGGGGGAAAAAAGAGUAAAUAAAACCUGAGUAAAAAAAUUUAUCUUGUUUAUUUGCAUUUCUAAUUGCUAUAACUAUAUCUUUAUAAUGACGUAAUUUGAUGAGGACAAAGAUAGAUAAAACUUACCAAAUUAAGAACAUGUAACUAAUCUAAGACCUUAAUUACAGAUCUGCAAGAUGGUCACAUAAUUCCUUUAAAUUGAAUAGAACACAUUUUUUCAUCUUGUUGCCUGCUAUGUAAGUUGUGCCAACCCAAAUAUUACUCAAAAGUUAAGGAAAGGCAGUAGAAUGGAAAAAAACAACAAGCAGUAAUUGAAAAUAAAAACGCUUUGAAAGAUGGCUUGAAGCCAGAGAUCCUAAUGAAAAUGAUAAACCAGAAAGCCUUUACACGUAAGGUAGCAAGCUAUUUAGUAAGUUGGAUGCCUCUGAGAAAAUUUAUUAAUACUUGACCACUGAAAGAAGAGUAAUUCAUUUAUGCAGACAAACAGCAUUCUUGGCUUGUGCAUUUACGUGUUGUGUGACGCCAGAGUAUGAUUUUAUGAAGAUAAAUUUUUAGCUUGUGUACAAUUUGCAUUGUAGCAUGUUCAGUCUCAGAAGAAAAUCCAUCUGAGGACUUCAUCAGAUGCUAAACAGAGCUUAGAAAAAUAAGCAAUUGUUUUAAUAACAACUCAGGUAAGGUAAAGAUAACCAUCUCUUAGUAUCUAUAAUCAUUACAAGGAUUAAGGUUUGUGUCCUUCCAUAAGAUGGUAAUACCCACAGCUACUUCUAGGCAUUGCAAUUGCUGCUAUAUAAAUCUCUGAAAUAUUUCUCUUCGUGGUAUCCUAAAAGUUUAUUGAAUUGAAUUUGAAUGAAAGAUAGGAGCUAUAUUACAUUCAAAUUUUUCAUAUAAGGCAUGUAUUUGCAAAACAAACCCCCUUCUCCCCGUGAAUGUGGGCUUGAUUUAAUGACUUGCUUCCAAAGAAUGGAGUAUGGAAAGGGGAAAGUAGUAAUGUUACAGUGGAGCAAUUCAGCAAACAUCAUCCUAACCAAGCGAUGAAGAUUAACACCUUCAGAGAUGUCGCAAGAAUCACUGAAGAACACUUCACCUCUGUGGGAUUCUUUCCCAAAACCUGUAUCUCCGGUUUAAUCAUUUAAAAAAGUCAGAUGAAGCCAAACUGAGGGGCACUCUACAGAAUGCCUGGCCCAAACUCCCCAAACCAUCAAGAUUAGAAAACAAGAAAAGAUUGAGAAACCGUCACAGUGAAAAGAGACAGUGGAUACAUGAAAGCUAAGUGCAAUGUAGUUGCCUGGAUUGGAUCCUCAAUCAGAAAGAAGUGACAGAAAACUGGCGUAAUCCAAAUAAAGUCUCUGUGCUCUGCUAAGUCACUUCAGUCGUGUUCGACUCUGUGAGACCCCAUAGACAGCAGCCCACGAGGCUCCUCCAUCCAUGGGAUUUUUCAGGCAAGAGUACUGGAGUGGGGUGCCAUUCGUUCAGUUAAUAGUAAUGUGCUAACAUUGGUUUCUUAGAUUUAUCAAAUGCACUGUGGAAAUGGAAGGUGUUAACAAUAAGGGAAGCCGGGUGAAAGGUAUGACAACUUUGUAGUAUCUUUGAAACUUUUCUGUAAAUAUUAGAUUUGCAAAAUAAAGAGUUUAUUUUUUUAAAUCUCAGUUCUUCUGCCACUGACAUGCAGCAGACAGACACUCUCUGCCAUUGCUGUCUUGUGCUGUGUUAUAUCCAGGAGCACUGGUUAACGAUGCUGUUUGGUGAAAUGGACAAGAACGUGUAUAGGAAAAAGCAGUUUUAAGACAGGUCACAGAAAUCUUGAAGAAAAUCAAAAGCUUUGGAAACAGUGCCAAGAUAAUACAAAUUCAUUCCACUGUAUUGUGACUCCAUUUAAAUACAAGUAAUUUCUAUGGUUAUGCUUUUCUCAGGAAAAGUUAUAUCCUUUUAUCGGUGUAGAGUCUUAAACUACUGUUACCCUCUGGGGAGAGCUACAUUUUGUUGGAUAGUGAUAACAAGGUUGCAGCCUACAUGUACCCUCUGAAAGAAUAUGAGCGUUUCACGUUUUUUGUUUUGCUUUGGUUUCGAGUAGAAUUUGGCUGCUGACUUCUUUUAAAUGUGAGCAAAGGAGAUGCCAUUUUAAAAGCUGAUAUAAUCCUAAAACUGAAGAUCAGAAGACUAGGUCAUAGCAUUCUCCAUCCCAUCCUUGUUUCCUCAGUGAUGGAUUGUCCCUGCUGAAUAUUCAUGAUACCAUGACUAACUAUUCUUGAAUGUUUACAAGAAUAUAACUUUAUUACUGCCUUUGGGAGGCUACUUUAUAUUCUUACGGUAAAAUUUCUUCUUGAUUAAUUUUAAUAGUCCUAUAAGUGAAUUUUGCUCAUUAUUACCAGUUUACCCUUACCCACUACUCUUAAUAGAUUUUAAUCCUUGUCAUACAUUUGCAAACACUAAUAUCGUGGGUUAACCUAUAUUUUUCUUUCAAAGGGAAAAUUUCGAGAACUACUGUGGUUUCUGCAUAUGUAUCAAGAAGAAUGCUUUCGUAUCAAAUCCAUUAUUGAAAGAUUCAUUCAUCACUGUGCUGAGAUGAUUACAGAUACCUCCUGAAAAUCACAAACUCAUUGAGUCUGCCACUAGAAGUGGAACAGCUUAGAAAACCUAAAGCAGUCUCUAGAGAGUUGAAAGCAGACUGGUGAAUGACAUCAUAACUCCAGGGAAGGGAUUCAACAAAGGGAGGACCUAGACCAGCCGAAGUCAUGAAUCAGCCAUCUAAUCAUGUCCACCAUCUAGCUCUAGAGGAAGGAAUUUCGUGGAUACAAAUAAAGUCGUUGGAACCCUAUGGCAAGUGAGUUGCAAACUUCUCUGUUAACUAAAUUCUACUGCAUUGACAGGACCCCCUUCCCGGUUCUAAUACAUCCUUUUAACAAUCUCGGUAGCUUUGAUGCUGCUGUUUCACUAAUGUGGGCACACACCUCCAUCCUUUUAACAACCUCGGUAGCUUUGAUGCUGCUGUUUCACUAAUGUGGGCACACGCCUCCCAUCCUUAUCUCUUUCCACCAAAUCACCCAUUAGUAGCUCAGCCUUGUCUCAGUCUAGAUUCCCUUCACUUGCCCCUUUUCCCUCACCCCCAACACCUCUGGCUAUUUUGUUUCCAACCAACAUUAUACUGUGGGAAAAUGUAUUCCGUCUUAAGAUUCCAGGGCCUCCCUUGCAAUUCUCUCUGGGCCCUGUUCCUUUCCCUAGCUCCUGUUGACUCUGGGCUGGGGGCAGGGUCUGCUCCCCACCUUCUUUCCUAAGCCAUUGUUCCUCCAACUUGUGUCUCCACGUCUCCACAAUGACCCUACUAUGCUCAGUAUUUCCAAAGGCCCAAGAGCAACUCCCUAUCUUUCAUAUUCUUUCCUAGUGUACCACACUCAGGAAUUCAUUUCUUUCUCCAAAUUAUUUUUAUGCAUGCCAACUAGCCAUCUUGAUGCCCGUCUCUCGUUCUCCUACUUUGAACACAUUGUUCACUCCACAUAUGGCUUAUUUAAUGUAAAAGUCAAUUUUGAUCUAGAAAUCAAAGAAGAAGAAAUAAAAAGAAAGGAGAGGGGAGGAGAGGGAGAGGGGGAGAGAAAAAUAAGGAGGAGGAGGGGAAGAAGGCAAAAUCAAAGGUUUGUUUGCUUACUGGUAUAAGCUCAGACUCCUCAGCCUGACAUCCAAAAUUGCCUAUAACAUGAUCAGAACAUUUAACUCCAGUCUUUAGUGUUCUCCCCUUCAACUAGUACAGACUACAUACUUUCCCCUUUUGUGAGAUUUUCUGCUUUUAGUAAUCAUAAUAAUAGCUGCAAUGUAUAGGGCACUACAUCCAGGCAUUGCAUUAAGCACUUUACACUUCAUCAAUUGAACAACAGAAUGAGGUAGGAACUAUUACCCAAUUUUAACAGACAAAAAUAUUGUUAUAGGGAGUUAUAGGCAUUCCUAAAUCACAUAGCUAUUAAGUGACAGAUCUCAAUAUGAGCCCAUUCAUCUGUUUCCAAAACCCAAGCUCUUCCUUUGUUUGAAAUGUAUGUACCCCUCUGAUAAAAAUUCUUCCCAUCCUCCAAAAACCAUCUCAAAUGCAUCAUCCUUCAUAAAACCACUUUUAACCCUCUGACUAAAAGUGAUCCUACACCCUUCACAAUGCUUAAAUUGAACCUCUCCUGUACCAGAAAAUUUCUGCCUUAGCAUACAGUUCUAUAGAUACUUUACUUAAUCUUUUCAAAGCCAAAUUGAUAAUAUAAUAUGGUUGCCGCCCCACUGAGGCUUACAUACCAUGUGUUUCUUAUUGCCUUUUGUAUUCCCUUUGAGCAUAGUAGGCAUUUAUUACAUGGUUAUUGCACUGAGGCAAUAUCCAUCUGUCUGUCAUCAAUCAUCCAUCGAGACACUGGGCUAUUUUUACAGUGAAUCUGACAGAAUGCUUUCCCAGUCCAUCGUUCUCAGGAUAUUGUAGCCACAAUGACAUCCUGAAACCCAUUUUCACAGUUGUCAUUUGUGUGGAAAAGAACAUGCUCUAUACUCAAAUUUUUUGCUCAACUAAAAUAAUAAGCUGUUUACUUAUCUCCCUAUGUAUAAUCAAAGGAUCUAUGUCAUCAGCUGCUUUUUUUAAAGUCCCACUUCUAGGAUCUGAUGUGAAGACAGCUUGCUUUUCGCACAACAGCACUGAGGGAAAACCAGACGUGAGGAAUGAGAGGCGAAAGUGACAGAAAGUGGCAGAAUCGAGAUUUAAAACUAGGUACACUUGUGUUUCCUACAAGUACAGUCUUGCUAUUUUGACAAUACAUCUGGCCACCGGGAUUAGAAUUUGUGUUUUCCCAAAGCAAUUUAGCUGCCCAUUGGUAAUUUAAGAUGGGGGUUUCCUGUUGUAUUUUUGGUUUUGAUUUUAACAUAGGGGAAAUGUCUUACCAUUUGUCCAAGGAGAAUCUCUUUUAAAAACUGUUUCAGAUUCUAUCCCUGUUAUGGAUUAAUACAAACAGUUCAUGUUAUUAUUUGUCAUUUUUCCUAUUACAUUUCAGAAGACAAUUUCAAGUCUGGGGUUUACCCUGCUGUCUUCAUUCCUGUAUUUUCUAUUUAUAUAAACCGAAAUUAAGUGCACCUUUAAGAGCAACAUUUAACUGUCCCCAUAUUCCGUCUUUAACCAGCAUUUUUUGAACCAGAGACAGAUCUAGUUUGCAACCCAAACCCGUAUAGUACAUACGGGACCCAAAAG